AGGUGAAAAUAUUAAUCAAUAAUUUUAUACUUUUUAUCAGUCAUUACAAAAAAAUUAAAGUUUUAGUACGACCAAAUUAGAUGUGCUCUUGUUGGAGUUUCGAGUAAAAAUGAACGAUUCGAGAAAACGUUGCACAAACAGUAAAGGACAUCACAAGAGUCAUAGCUCUAUUAGAUGAAAUUACAAUUGCUCCUAAUAAUAUUGUAAACAACCAAACAGUAAUAGGAACCUAUUUAAUAACAUUUGAAAUUAGUAUUGUAAUCAGUAAUAACCCUUAUGAAAAUAUUGAAACAAUUAUGACAAUAUAGGUAUUAUAAAAAUUGGAAUUAAUCGACAGCAUCCACACAGCAGCCUUACCGUAACUGUAAGUAAACUUGUAUCUUAACUUUUGUAAUUAUGCUAUCGCAUAAAUAAAAUCUUUAUUAACG